GGAUAGCUCAGUUGAUACCGCACGAGACUCUUAAUCUCAUGGUUGUGGGUUCAAGCCCCAUGUUGGGCA